UAGGGAAUCUUCCACAAUGGACGAAAGUCUGAUGGAGCAACGCCGCGUGAGUGAAGAAGGGUUUCGGCUCGUAAAACUCUGUUGUUAAAGAAGAACAUAUCUGAGAGUAACUGUUCAGGUAUUGACGGUAUUUAACCAGAAAGCCACGGCUAACUACGUGGCCAG
rnacentral:rRNA from 1 species